CUCUAGAUUUUUUAAUUAGGUAAUUUAUUUUUGUUGUUUGUCAUGAGUGAUUUGAGCGGAUCAUUAAAAUACCUGACGUAAAGUCCAAUUCAGAGAUCUAUUAGAAUCUUUGAUGUGUCGCACAUGCCGCACUAACUAGUCCGUGCGUCUAUGUCGUAUUUAUUGUCGCAUGAUAUACAUGUUUAAAUGGAGUGCCUGUAUAAACAUAAUAAUUUGUCAACAUUUAUAUGAGAUAAAAGUAUAGUUAUCUCAUUCCUUUAUGAGCUAGAUAGAGAUAAACUUAUGUGUCAAAAAGAUAUUGAUACAUUUUAAUAUUCAAACGUUUUUUCAUAAAUAACAUUUAAAUAAUAGAGUGUUUAUGGGUAAAAAAAUUGAAUGGGUUUAUAGAAAACGACAGUCAACUGAUCAAAAAUUAGUCCCUAUCACGAAUUUUGUUCCAAUCUUAUUUUUUGGCUCAUUGACAACAUGCAGCAAUAUAUGCCCUUCAGCGACACAAUAAAGACUGCCUCUUCCUUCAUUCUCUGGAAAAAAGUCCCUUUUUUACCAUACUUACUGCCCCUGUUUGUCCUUAAGCGACACAAUAAAGAAUAUAAUUAUAAUGUAAUGCUUUAGUAUCCAUAUGCUAAUGUGCGAGAUGAAGUUGAAAUCCAUAGCAGCAACAGAGAAACUGUUUCCUUCCUUAAUGGAAGAAACUGCUAAAGAACAAAGGCAAAACAACGAAUUUAGAAAAUUGUAUUAACUCUUUGGGCCAGAUUCAAAAGACUGGUUAAAUUUAUAAAAGUAUUUAGUAUCCUCACUGUAGUUUUAGGAUUCAGUAUACUUAAAAUGUAAUGUCUUGUAUAAGAUUUUUAGUUUUUAGUAUAAGCAUUUAUCUUUGUUAAUUUACAUCUAAUCUCUCCUAUUAUGCACAAUAACUAAAUACGAGGCAAACAAAUUAAUAAAUAUUACAUUCAGGAUGUAAAGUGUGUUUUUUACAAGUAAAACUUGUGUCUUUUAAACGCAUAAGAUAUAGACAGCUAGAUGAUUUUUAAUGUAAAAGUUGAUUUUAAAAAAUAUACUUCCACUUUUCUGACUACAAAAUUACUUUUUAUCCAAAGAUGUUGGUACUAAAUAUAGAGAUAGGGGUUUUCAUGAGUAUAUUAUUAUAAUAAUAUAUCAUAAUAUGUAUUAAUUUAAAAAAAACUAUAAUAAAGGACAUUGAAUAUGGCAGCCACAAUCCCCAUUAAUAAUCACCACCAAGUAAAAAUAAAUCUCAAUACCCAAAAAAAGGAAAUAUAUAAAAUUUGAAGACAAACCAAAACAUUUUACCCUUUUGUGUCAAAAAGUAAAUAUUUAAUGCCUUAAUCCACAGAAUAAAUGGGCCUAAGUAAUUCGUACCACCUAUUCUCUCAUCACUUGUUAUAAACACCCCACUGAUACCGCUAAAAACUAAACUUAUUAAAUUAAAAUUUUUGGUUAAACUCUUUUUCGUACUUAAAUCUUACUUAUAUUUAAAUUAAAUAUUAUCUACCUAUCAACUAUCCUGAAUUUCUAACUUAAUAAAACUAAUCCCAAGAAUCCCGAAUAAUAAAUGUUAAGGCCGGACCUGUGCAACUUUUCACGCUUGAGUGGCUGUGACUGAGGUCAGACGUCUAACAAAAUAGUACGUGGGCGCAUGUAGUCAAAUUUUACGAAUCAAAUGUAUAAAUUCUUAAAAAAAUGCUUAAAACAUUUAUUUAUUUAAUGGACUGGUUAAAUAUCGCUUAGAAUAUUACUUUAUGACUGUUUUCACAUAAAAUUUUGCGAUUUAAACAUGCAUGUCAUGUGACAAUACAAGCAACACCGGCACACGAACUAUUCGCGGCACAUCAAAGAUUCUAAUAGAUCUCUGAACUGAACUAUACCUAAUAAUUAUAUUGAUCUUUGAAAGUUUAUAUUAAAACCCCAUAAAAGACAACUUGGUCAUAUAUGGAUACUGUACCACGUUACCAUAACCAAAUGCCUUUUAAGGUCAGUUAACGAUAUUCUAAUAACGUUUAAUACUUUCCUUUUACCCUAUUAAUUAACCUCUUUAUAGCAUGUAACGCGUAGGAUUGGUCACUAGCGUGGGCUACACAAACAACAACUCAUUUUCAAAGAGAAAAAUGUACAAUUUCGUUUCUUUUGUAAGUGACGUUCUAUUGCCACAGAUAAAGUUUGUUUAAGAGUUUUGAUUGGCAAUUAAAAAUAAAUCUAAGUCAUCGAAUACUUCA